GUGAACCUGCGGAAGGAUCAUUACCGAGUGAGGGCCCUCUGGGUCCAACCUCCCACCCGUGUUUAUUUUACCUUGUUGCUUCGGCGGGCCCGCCUUAACUGGCCGCCGGGGGGCUCACGCCCCCGGGCCCGCGCCCGCCGAAGACACCCUCGAACUCUGUCUGAAGAUUGAAGUCUGAGUGAAAAUAUAAAUUAUUUAAAACUUUCAACAACGGAUCUCUUGGUUCCGGCAUCGAUGAAGAACGCAGCGAAAUGCGAUACGUAAUGUGAAUUGCAAAUUCAGUGAAUCAUCGAGUCUUUGAACGCACAUUGCGCCCCCUGGUAUUCCGGGGGGCAUGCCUGUCCGAGCGUCAUUGCUGCCCUCAAGCCCGGCUUGUGUGUUGGGCCCCGUCCUCCGAUUUCCGGGGGACGGGCCCGAAAGGCAGCGGCGGCACCGCGUCCGGUCCUCGAGCGUAUGGGGCUUUGUCACCCGCUCUGUAGGCCCGGCCGGCGCUUGCCGAUCAACCCAAAUUUUUAUCCAGGUUGACCUCGGAUCAGGUAGGGAUACCCGCUGAACUUAAGCAUAUCAAUAA
rnacentral:misc_RNA from 1 species